CGUGACCAAACCACGCCUCGGCACAGUGGCUCGAUACGUUUGCUUCAUGAGCUACAGCGCAUGUGUCGAAGCCUCGGGUAUCAGAGGACCAUCACUAUCUCUGGCUGCUGUUGACCUUGUUUUUGGAGUAAAACACGGUGGAAGCUGAAUUAGUGAGGAUGACUCCUGCUCCUCACUCUAAGCUCCUCACACAUCUUUACCUGCACAUGAGGAAAAUCACUCCUGUAGAAUGCAGAUGUUCAGAGGGAGAUGAUGCCACAUCUGGUCCAGCUGAUGGAAGGUCUUGAAGUUCUCUGACUGGCCUCGACUGAAGAUGGUCGUCUCACUGGAUUUAAGGUUCAGAUGCUCAGUAACAAACUCCACCAAUGAGCCAACAGGGAAGCUUUAGGUUUAUUAAAUGUUACUAUGAAGGUUUCGCUGUUUUUCUUUGUGAAUGCAAUGUGCUCCAACUGAAACUUGAAUUAGAACUUAGAAGUAAAUCCUUCCAUCUGAAAGAAUUAGUUGCAUUAAUAACCUCAUAACAUUCUAAUUUUUAUUCCAGUCUUGGUUGGAAAUAGAAUCUCUGUAGUGAUUCAGGUAAAAACUGAACUUCACAGCAUGUUGGAGCAAAACAACCAGAUGAAAACUGUGAUGGUGUUGGAUUGUCAGACCGUAAUGUUGCAGCUCAAAGCAGCUUUUCUAUCUCAGUUCAUUCUGACAUUCAGCUAUGAAUCAACACAGCAGAUGGUGAUCCAUGCUGUGGAAGUCUCACAUCUCCUGAUUUAAUGGAGCUGCUUUGCACUUUUUACACUGUUUAUUCACCAACACUUUAUUUAAUAAAAGUCCCAUCGAGUUUUUAUGAGGAAUGUGAUGUUUUAAUUUCUCUGUGAAUAACUGCAGUCUAAUGCAACAGCUGGAGUUGUAACAUCUGUCCUGAUAUUGAUCAUGAAGUAUUGAUCAGAAUACUUAUGGUCAGCAGUCAUCCCUGAAGUUUUACAUUAAAAUCUUUACUUGUGUUGUGAACUUUGGUAAGAAGCAGAAACGUUAGCAUUGCCAUGGAUACAUGAGUGUUAAAUUCUGUCCAUGUUUCAUUUUGGGAAAUGCAGUCCAGUUCCAGAAUGUGGAGGAAUUUAGUCUCACAAUCACAGACAACAAAUAUUAUCUGAAAGUCGGGUUAUUGUUGUUUAUCAGCACAAUACAAAAAGAUUAAUGUUAGAAAUAUUCCAGUUAAGACUCUAGAAUAUCAUGAUUUAUGUAAAUUUACCUCAAUAAUAUGAAUGUUCAGGUUAAGAUUGUGCAGUGAUAUUUAUAAUGUAAGUUUAGCUGAUUAAAGUUUAUGACUCUGCACUAAAAUAUUAUUUAAAUUGACAUCAUUAUUAUAAUAUUUAGGGUCAGACCCUACAGUAUUGAGAUUAAGAAAUCAAAUAUUCUAUAAAAUGUAAAUACACUGAACUCAUUUGGAUAUAUUUAAGUGAGACUCUACAAUAUUAUUUGACAAAUCUAUCUAAAUCAAAAUUUUAAUCAUUUUUACUCGAAACAUUUACUGAUCUGAUUUAAAUAUUAAAAUCACUCCUUUCUAAUCCUCUGCUGUACAUUCAAACCUGAGGCCUUAAAUAGAAACACACAAGUAUCUGAUUGAAGGAACUUCUGCAGAGUCCUGGUUCCAGAACAUGAUGAUAGAAUUAUAGACAAACUUUAACAAAAGCUGCCUGAGAGUUUACAGGUUUUUAUGUUGGAUUUCUUCAGUAAUUUAAUGAGAGUUAUCGGCAAAAAUCAAGUGUUCAUUUGAUGAACUUCAUUUCCUGAAACAUCCAGAAUUGGAGCUCAUAUCUUUGGCAGCUGUAAAGUUUCUGCUCCUUCAAAGUUCACAACACAAUGAAUUAAUUCCUAAAACCCUCUCAAUGCUGGAGAGCGUUUGUGACGCUGAAGCAGUGAUCAGUUUUUCUGUUUCUUCUCUGGAGCUGCACAAUGAGGGACGUCUGCAGCGACUGAGAAAGAGUCUCACCACAUCCUGACAUGAGGAAAAAGACUUUAUUGAAGACUAUAAUGAGGAAAACUAUCAGACAGCAGAUGGCUGCAUUCAAGGUGAGCUCUGAACAUUUGAUCUGGAACAGGAAUUCAAUAACGGCAGCAUGAGCUUCAUUUCAGUCUGUAGCUGCUGAAUUCAUGGAUGAAUCAUCUGGCACUAGAGAGGAAGACCAUCAAACAUCCACUAAACAACCCUUUCAGGUCUAUAUUUGAGGUUUUAGGUGGAACAUUCCUUUUAACCAGCCCCUCAGGUCUCUGAGGAUUUUGGAUGGAAUACUGGGUUAAACCAACAUUUUAGGUGCAUGUCCAAGGAUUUCUGGUGGAAUGUUCCUUUAAGGUGGAUGUGUGAGGACCUUGUAGGUGGAAUACUCUCUGAAACCAACCUUUUAGGUCACCAUUCAAAGAUUUAAGGUGGAACAUUCCUUUAAACCAAGCUAAAUUUUAUGUUUUGAUCAUUAUCAAGUGAGAAACCUCAAUCCAGACUCCUCAUAAUGACUGUUACGGCUGUGGCCGUAUUAUGUAAUAUUGUGUUUGUAGUUUUGAACUGUUUUGUUGUCUGGGAGUGGGUGCUCUGUGUUUGUGUGCAUCUUUGUCUCGUCCUUGUUUUCUGUGUAAGUGGUCUGUUUCGUCCUGUUGGUUUGUAGUGGGUGUUCUGUGUUUGUCUGUAAAUCUUUGUGUGCAGGAGCUGUUACUGGUGGCGAUGGUGGCAAGGUGGACCCAGCGCUGAUUGGCUGUUCACCAUUUUUAAUCUUGGCGGCUGGCAGUGAUGGAGGAGACUGACAGCAGCACCCUUUGUUUUCCCAGACUCCAACCUUUUGCUUGAUACCCGUUUUUCUUCUUAGAUUAAGAUAGUGUGGUUUUUGUUUGUUAGACUUAGGUUUCUUUUUGUAGUAGUUGUGGUUUUGUUGGAUAGGAUCUUUCGUUUGAGUGCUAAAAUGCCUCUUUAGUUUGUAUCCAGUUCUUUUGUUGCUUGAAUGAAUAACCCAUGUGGUGGCCUGUUUUAUUUGUAAAAUAUUGUAAAUAAAUCUUUUGUAUUUUUUCUAAGAA